UUGAUGUGUAGGAUAGGUGGGAGGCUUUGAAGUGUGGACGCCAGUCUGCAUGGAGCCAACCUUGAAAUACCACCCUUUAAUGUUUGAUGUUCUAACGUUGCCCCGUUAUCCGGGGUGCGGACAGUGUCUGGUGGGUAGUUUGACUGGGGCGGUCUCCUCCCAAAGAGUAACGGAGGAGCACGAAGGUUGGCUAAGCAUGGUCGGACAUCAUGCGGUUAGUGCAAAGGCAUAAGCCAGCUUGACUGCGAGAGUGACGGCUCGAGCAGGUACGAAAGUAGGUCUUAGUGAUCCGGUGGUUCUGAAUGGAAGGGCCAUCGCUCAACGGAUAAAAGGUACUCCGGGGAUAACAGGCUGAUACCGCCCAAGAGUUCAUAUCGACGGCGGUGUUUGGCACCUCGAUGUCGGCUCAUCACAUCCUGGGGCUGAAGUAGGUCCCAAGGGUACGGCUGUUCGCCGUUUAAAGUGGUACGCGAGCUGGGUUUAGAACGUCGUGAGACAGUUCGGUCCCUAUCUGCCGUGGGCGUUGGAAGAUUGAAAGGGGCUGCUCCUAGUACGAGAGGACCGGAGUGGACGCACCACUGGUGUUCGGGUUGUCAUGCCAAUGGCAUUGCCCGGUAGCUAAGUGCGGAAGAGAUAACCGCUGAAAGCAUCUAAGCGGGAAACUUGCCUUGAGAUGAGUCUUCCCUGACCCUUUAAGGGUCCUAAAGGAACGUUUAAGACUAAGACGUUGAUAGGUUGGGUGUGUAAGCAUAGCGAUAUGUUGAGCUAACCAAUACUAAUGAACCGUGAGGCUUAACCUG
rnacentral:rRNA from 1 species